UGCCUCUCUGUCCUUCCUCCUCUACUUCCUGGCUGGGGCACAGGAAAGGAAUCGCACAGAGACGGUUGUCUGCUAGCAUGGCCAGCUCCGAGUUUCAGUUACAUUGAUCACUGGCUCUUGUGUAGUUUUCCGAUGGCACAAAGGGGAUUCUAGGGCAGCUUUCCCUUCAGUGCCCUUUCGCUAGGGCUCACCGUUCUGUCCAGCAUGUGUGCAGAAAGAGAAGAUCCCUGGGGUGACGUUUUGAAGACUAUCACAGGGAGCCAUUCUGUCUGCAUCCUGUCUCGGUCACUGCUUGUCUAAGUACCAGAGAGCUGCUCCCCAGUGUGUCCAGGCCUCCAUCACCACUGGGACCCCAACAUCUGGUUCCCAGGAUUCUGAGAGGCCCACCCAGAUACCAUCAUACCCCAGCCAGAAGCCCGCCUGGACACCAGUGGCUUGGGCGUGCAGGCCCCAGCCAAAGGGCUCAAGGAAAACAGCUGUGCGGGGCCCCGGAGAGAGGCCUGCCCAGACAACAGCCCAGCGUGGGGAUCUAGAAGGCCAUCAUUGUGAACCCAGGAAUUGGCUCAGAGGUGAGCAGGACAGAGAAGGCCUC
ensembl:lncRNA